AUUGAACGCUGGCGGCAGGCCUAACACAUGCAAGUCGAGCGAGCGGCGGACGGGUGAGUAAUGUCUGGGAAACUGCCUGCUGGAGGGGGAUAACUACUGGAAACGGUAGCUAAUAACGCAUACCAUCAGAUGUGCUAGGUGGGGGUUAGCUGGUGGGUGGGGUAACGGCCCACCUAGGCGACGAUCCCUAGAGGGUCUGCGAGGAUGACCGGCCACACUGGAACUGAGACACGGUCCAGACUCCUACGGGAGGCAGCAGGAGGGAAUAUUGCACAAUGGGCGAAAGCCUGAUGCAGCCAUGCCGCGUGAGUGAAGAAGGCUUUCGGGUUGUAAAGCACUUUCAGCGGGGAGGCGUUACCCGCAGAAGAAGCACCGGCUAACUCCGUGCCAGCAGCCGCGGUAAUAC
rnacentral:rRNA from 1 species